rnacentral:rRNA from 1 species
UACGAAGGGGGCUAGCGUUGCUCGGAAUCACUGGGCGUAAAGGGUGCGUAGGCGGGUCUUUCAGUCAGGGGUGAAAUCCUGGAGCUCAACUCCAGAACUGCCUUUGAUACUGAGGAUCUUGAGUUCGGGAGAGGUGAGUGGAACUGCGAGUGUAGAGGUGAAAUUCGUAGAUAUUCGCAAGAACACCAGUGGCAAAGGCGGCUCACUGGCCCGAUACUGACGCUGAGGCACGAAAGCGUGGGGAGCAAACAGG